GCUGCGGGAGCGCGCCCGGAAGCAGCAGCAGCGGCGCCAGAUCUGCAGCCUCAGCUUCAACCUGGACGAGGAGGAGGAGGGGGGGGACAGCCCCCCCCGGGACCCCCCCAGCGACGGUCAGAGCGCUGGGAUUUCCCCCCCCCGGGGGGGUGGGGACGCACACAAACCCCGCCCCUUUGCCCUUAUAUGGACAAACACCGGGGAUGAGGGUGGAGCCUAACUGCAGUGUGUGGGUGUGGUCAUGGUGUAACCACGCCCUUUUGUCCUUAUAUGGAGAAGGCACAGCGCCAGGGGGAGGUGCCUAAGACCAGUGUGGGCGUGGCCUUGCUGUAACCCCGCCCAUUUCUCUGUAUAUGGAGAAAGCACAAAGAAAUGGGAUGGGACCUAAUUGCGGUGUGGGUGGGGCCAGGCACAAACCCCGCCCCUUUCUCCUUAUAUGGAGAGACAGCGGGGAUGGGGGUGGAGCCUAAUUGCAGUGUGUGGCCGUGGUCAUGGUGUAACCCACCCUUUUCUCCUUAUAUGGAGAAGGCACAGCGUUAGGGGGAGGUGCUUAAGACCAAUGUGGGCGUGGCCUUGCUGUAACCCCGCCCAUUUCUCCAUAUAUGGAGAAAGCACAAAGAAAUGGGAUGGGACCUAAUUGCGGUGUGGCUGGGGCCAGGCACAAACCCCGCCCCUUUGUCCAUAUAUGGAAGCUCCCACCCGGGCAGUAGGCGGGGCCUAACAUCAGGGUAGGCCUAUGGAGGCGUGGCCAAACCAUAACCCCGCCCCUUUCCCCAUAUAUAGAAAAUGUUUUUCAGGGUGGUGGGUGGGCGUGGCCUCAAGCACAUGUGGGCGGGGCUAAGGCAGAGGGUGAUUGUAUGGGGGCGGGGCCAAGCCAUAACCCCGCCCCAUUGACCAUAUAUGGAGAAUGUGGCCCCCCGCCCCCCCGGUGGUGGGUGGGGCCUCGUGCACAGGGGGCGUGGCCAAAGCUGUAACCCCGCCCCUUUGCCCAUAUAUAGAGGAGCCCCCCCGGAAGAAGAAACUGGGGAAGAACCCGGACGUGGACACCAGUUUCCUCCCGGAUCGCGACAGGGAGGAGGAGGAGAACCGACUGCGGGAGGAGCUGCGCCAGGAGUGGGAGGCCAAGCAGGAGAAGAUCAAAAGUGAGCGGGAUCUAUGGGGCUGGGAUCUAUGGGGCUGGGAUCUAUGGGGCUGGGAUCUAUGGGGUGGGAUCUAUGGGGCUGGGAUGUAUGGGGCCAGGCCCCCGUGGAUCUGUGGGGCGGGAU
rnacentral:lncRNA from 1 species